rnacentral:rRNA from 1 species
GACGAACGCUGGCGGCGUGCCUAAUACAUGCAAGUAGAACGCUGAAGGAGGAGCUUGCUUCUCUGGAUGAGUUGCGAACGGGUGAGUAACGCGUAGGUAACCUGCCUGGUAGCGGGGGAUAACUAUUGGAAACGAUAGCUAAUACCGCAUAAUAGCAGUUGUUGCAUGAUAACUGUUUGAAAGGUGCAAUUGCACCACUACCAGAUGGACCUGCGUUGUAUUAGCUAGUUGGUGGGGUAACGGCUCACCAAGGCGACGAUACAUAGCCGACCUGUGAGGGUGGUCGGCCACACUGGGAAUGUGACACGGCCCCGACUCCCCCGGGAGGCAGCAGUGGGGGAUCUUCGGCGAUGGGCGGAAGUCUGUCCGGGCAACGCCGCGUGAGUGAAGAAGGUUUUCGGGUCGUAAAGCUCUGUUGUAAGAGAAGAACGAGUGUGAGAGUGGAAAGUUCACACUGUGACGGUAUCUUACCAGAAAGGGACGGCUAACUACGUG